rnacentral:rRNA from 1 species
AAUACGUAGGGGGCAAGCGUUGUCCGGAAUUAUUGGGCGUAAAGCGCGCGCAGGCGGUCGUUUAAGUCUGGUGUUUAAGCCCGGGGCUCAACCACGGUUCGCAUCGGAAACUGGAUGACUUGAGUGUAGGAGAGGAAAGUGGAAUUCCACGUGUAGCGGUGAAAUGCGUAGAGAUGUGGAGGAACACCAGUGGCGAAGGCGACUUUCUGGCCUAUAACUGACGCUGAGGCGCGAAAGCGUGGGGAGCAAACAGGA